rnacentral:rRNA from 1 species
UGGGGAAUAUUGGACAAUGGGGGGAACCCUGAUCCAGCCAUGCCGCGUGUGUGAAGAAGGCCUUAUGGUUGUAAAGCACUUUAAGCGAGGAGGAGGGUACUGGUAUUAAUACUACCAGGUACUGGACGUUACUCGCAGAAUAAGCACCGGCUAACUCUGUGCCAGCAGCCGCGGUAAUACAGAGGGUGCGAGCGUUAAUCGGAUUUACUGGGCGUAAAGCGUGCGUAGGCGGCUAAUUGAGUCGGAUGUGAAAUCCCCGAGCUUAACUUGUGAAUUGCAUUCGAUACUGGUUAGCUAGAGUGUGGGAGAGGAUGGUAGAAUUCCAGGUGUAGCGGUGAAUUGCGUAGAGAUCUGGAGGAAUACCGAUGGCGAAGGCAGCCAUCUGGCCUAACACUGGCGCUGAGGUACGAAAGCAUGGGGAGCAAACAGG